AUUGAACGCUGGCGGCAGGCCUAACACAUGCAAGUCGAGCGGAGCGGCGGACGGGUGAGUAAUGUCUGGUAAUCUGCCUAUUAUUGGGGGACAACAUCUCGAAAGGCAUGCUAAUACCGCAUACUCAUCGAUGAGACUAAGUCGGAUUAGCUCGUUGGUGGGGUAAAGGCCUACCAAGGCGACGAUCUGUAGCGGGUCUGAGAGGGUGAUCCGCAACAAUGGGACUGGUACACGGCCCAGACUCCUACGGGAGGCAGCAGUGGGGAAUCUUGGACAAUGGGGGGAACCCUGAUCCAGCCAUGCCGCGUGUGUGAAGAAGGGUUUAUGGUUGUAAAGCUCUUUAAGCGAGGAGGCGUUACUCGCAGAAUAAGCACCGGCUAACUCUGUGCCAGCAGCCGCGGUAAUUC
rnacentral:rRNA from 1 species